GCCAGAAGUGCCUGCAUUUAAUGGAAGACAUAGAUUUUACCUUUGCAAAUCUCUAUGAAGAAAAACAUGGGACAAAUAACAAAAGAGCAUUAGUGGAUCAAAAUGGCAAUGCAUGUGGCCUCUCUCACAGAGGGCAGCAAGGGCCACACUCUGAGAGCCAGGUUAGCUCUGCCACCAGCUGCUGGCAGGGCCUGGGGUCAAGCUGGAUUCGGAUGAACUGUGAUCCCAGAUCAACCUCACUGUUUUGA
rnacentral:lncRNA from 1 species